CUGCAUGGUUGUUUGCCCUUUUAUAGGGUUCCGUUACUGCCCACUGCUGGAAUCUAGGCCCAACCUACCAUGCCCAAAUCUUAUUUCCUCACCCACAUAAAUCUUCAGGUACACUUUCUCUAGAGGUUAACAUAUUAUGACAUAUAUUCAUACAUAUUAGUAUAAAUUAUCUCUUUCCCAAAACUUUUACCUUUGGUCUGACU